AGAGGAUAGGAGGGAGGGGGGAUGGGGGAGAGAGAGCAAAUGCAAAUUGAAGUUUUCUCUUCCUUUAUGUAUUCUGUAUCUUACUAUCUAUCCCCUUCCAGUGGGCAGCUGCACUGCAAACCCCACAGCUAAACAGCAUUAUUUAAUGAAAGAAUGGAGGCUGGUGGAAGAGGACACUCUUGUGAGGCCUACAUUGCUGAGACUAGAUAGAUCCUAAGCAGAGGCAAGAAGGAUAUACAGUCAUAGCAGGAUUCAAUUUGGCGGCAACAGUGCUUCUUGCAACAGCACCGAAUUCCUCAUUUGGUUACUGUGGAGCUUCCAGAAAUUUUGCUAGUGCUGAUUUUAGGUGCCAGCUUGCCAUAGCUUCAGGGCACUCUAGAUUUGGAGCAUUGGAGGGAAGAAGAGAAAGGUAUUCAGCAGCAUUACUCAGUCAACAUGUCCUGACGGUGUGUGGAGUGACCUUCUAGAUUUUGUGGGGAGUGAUGAUGGCAAUAUUUCCUGGAGAAGCACGCUCAAUAAAGGAGAAAUGGGAUUAACACAACUGUGACAAAACUGCACUAAGUGAUUGGAAAGUAGGAAGCAUGUGGGCAAAUGAAUAGGCUACUGGCCUGAUUAAACCAGGAAAUCUCAAGCAGCACUGGAGUUCUGAAAGAAUUAAGGGGUGUGGCUGGUGGAAAGCUGACAAAACUCCCUCAGAGGGGGCAAUAGCAUGGAUAUGAAAUAGAAAUCAGCUAAAAAUAUUUAUUGUGUCCAUUGUACUAUAUACCAGUCAUUAAAAACAUGUGAAAUAGAGACAUUUUUAUAAGCUUGUAGGAGAACAUUAUAUGCUUUCAUGGAAGAAAGACAACGUAUUAUAGUCAUUCAAAAAUGGAUGUCAAGUAAUAUAGUGAAUAUAGAUACCCAAUUGCAGAGGUAAAGCUCAGUUGUGUAGAAAGAGCUUUAGAGUUGGGUCAGGUGAAAGAGAUAAAGGGAGAAAUGCUCUAUGAUAUGACUUAUAGAUGAAGUCUGGGGAUAACAGAAAUAUUCUAGGAACGGGAUGAUGGUGAAUAUAUUGCUGCUCGUGAAGACAAUUCUAAUAAAAAAAUGCGUGGCUUGGAAAACAUACUUGCUUAGUUAGAUGGCUUGUUUGGGCUAUGAUGAUAAAUUAGGUGGAUUCGUUAGGUAAUACACUUGACUUUAUAAAUAACCAACUGUAAAAUCUAAACAUUUACAUAAAUUUAUCAUGACUGUCUUAACAUGUGUUGUGUGCUUCUGAGUUUUCCGCUUCUCUUCCAUUUUGCCAAAUGAAAAAUCUGUCUCAAAUCCAAUUCUCCUACCGCUCUCUAAAGUGUUUGACCCUACAGCAGUCUUCUGGUUCUUCAACUAUGUCCUCUCUUUGGUUCUAUGACAUUAUAUCACCCUGGAGCUUACAUAGGCUGAUUAUUCUUUCCUGUCUUCCUUCAUUGAUUCCAUUUGCAGUUUAUGAGCCCCGAAAUUUGGGCAUAGGUCCCCAUAUUCAUCUCAACUUUCUUUUAUCAAUGUAUACUGUCAUGGUGGCACUAAUUCACUAAUUUUCUUUUUUCUUUUC
rnacentral:lncRNA from 1 species